CAACCUCCCAUCAGCUGUGGAGCAUCCCCCAUCAGGAGGACCCCUUGUGGGCCAUCUGUUCCUUCUGCCAGGCCCCUGAAUAAAGCCUCCGUCUCCAGCCAUCAGUCGUCAAAAAGCAGCUAGCAUAAAUAACCAGGAUCAGAAUUCCUCGCGCUCUCCCUGCAGAGCCUGGCUUAUUGAAAUGGUCAAGAGUGGAGGUGUGGAAGUGCCAUAGCAGAUGCCAGCAUCUCUACAAGCCAAGAGACAGAUCAUGCAGGAAGUAACCUCACAGUGAAAGAAAGCAUGGAUACUCACAUGACUUGGCACAUCAUCUCAUUGUCAGAGUUCUCAUCAAUCAGUUAUUGCCGUCUUCACAAGCCAAGAGAGAGAGAGACACGCACAGGCUUCAGCUUCUAGAAUUCUCCUCAGGAACCGAGACCUACCCCGCCCUCAUCAGCCUCUUUCACACAGCAGCUGCUGAACUAGUAAUCCUGCAGGAGUUGCCAUUGCUCCCCAUGUUGUUGAUGGAUUGUAUGGAAUAUUUGUUAUGCACUAGCAAAUCUUCUGAAUGUCAUAUAGCUUAUUUAACAUCUAAAAUGCUUGAUCACUCACUUGAACAAUUUAUGUUUCAAAGUUUUAUAAUUGUUGUGAA